rnacentral:rRNA from 1 species
GAGUUUGAUCCUGGCUCAGGAUGAACGCUAGCGGCAGGCUUAAUACAUGCAAGUCGAGGGGCAGCAGCUUUAUAGCAAUAUAGAGGCUGGCGACCGGCAAACGGGUGCGGAACACGUACACAACCUUCCUUGAAUAGGGGGAUAGCCCAUAGAAAUGUGGAUUAAUACCCCGUAAUAUAGCGGUGUGGCAUCACACUGUUAUUAUAGUUUCGGCGAUUCGAGAUGGGUGUGCGGCUGAUUAGGUAGUUGGCGGGGUAAAGGCCCACCAAGCCUUCGAUCAGUAGCUGAUGUGAGAGCAUGAUCAGCCACACGGGCACUGAGACACGGGCCCGACUCCUACGGGAGGCAGCAGUAAGGAAUAUUGGUCAAUGGACGCAAGUCUGAACCAGCCAUGCCGCGUGAAGGAUGAAGGUCCUCUGGAUUGUAAACUUCUUUUAUAGGGGGCGAAAAAAGGUCUUUCUAGAUCACUUGACAGUACCCUAUGAAUAAGCACCGGCUAACUCCGUGCCAGCAGCCGCGGUAAUACGGAGGGUGCAAGCGUUAUCCGGAUUCACUGGGUUUAAAGGGUGCGUAGGCGGGUAGGUAAGUCAGAGGUGAAAUCCUGGAGCUUAACUCCAGAACUGCCUUUGAUACUAUCUAUCUUGAAUAUGGUGGAGGUAAGCGGAAUAUGUCAUGUAGCGGUGAAAUGCAUAGAUAUGACAUAGAACACCUAUUGCGAARGCAGCUUACUACGCCUAUAUUGACGCUGAGGCACGAAAGCGUGGGGAUCAAACAGGAUUAGAUACCCUGGUAGUCCACGCCCUAAACGAUGAUUACUCRACGUAUGCGAWAMACAGUAUKCGUCUGAGCGAAAGCAUUAAGUAAUCCACCUKGGGAAGUACRAMCGCAAAGGUURAAACUCAAAGGAAUUGGCGGGGGUYCCGCWCWGCRGUGGAARCAWGKGUUUAAUUCGAKAAUMUCSARGGAU